GACGAACGCUGGCGGCGUGCCUAACACAUGCAAGUCGAGCGGAGACAGCAAGUAGCUAUACGAACUGUUUUAGCGGCGGACGGGUGAGUAACGCGUGAGCAACCUGUCCCAAACAGGGGGAUAACGAACCGAAAGGUUCACUAAUACCGCAUAAGACGACAGAGUCACAUGGCCCAGGGGUCAAAGGAGAAAUCCGGUUUGGGGUGGGCUCGCGUCUGGUUAGCUAGUUGGUGGGGUAACGGCCUACCAAGGCGACGAUCAGUAGCCGACCUGAGAGGGUGAUCGGCCACAUUGGAACUGAGACACGGUCCAAACUCCUACGGGAGGCAGCAGUGGGGAAUAUUGGGCAAUGGGCGAAAGCCUGACCCAGCAACGCCGCGUGAAGGAAGAAGGUUUUCGGAUCGUAAACUUCUAUCCUUGGUGAAGAUAAUGACGGUACCUUAUUAGAAAGCCACGGCUAACUACGUGCCAGCCGCCGCCGUAA
rnacentral:rRNA from 1 species